UCAUUCUGUUGUGGUUGCGCUGCUGCU
rnacentral:piRNA from 1 species